GAUGAACGCUAGCGGCAGGCCUAAUACAUGCAAGUCGAACGGGAUCCAGAUCAAAGCUUGCUUUGGUUUGGUGAGAGUGGCGUACGGGUGCGUAGCGCGUGAGCAACCUACCCUUGUCAGGGGGAUAGCCCGGCGAAAGUCGGAUUAAUACCGCAUGACAUCAUUGAGAGGCAUCUUUCGAUGAUCAAAGAUUUAUCGGACAAGGAUGGGCUCGCGUGACAUUAGCUAGUUGGUAAGGUAACGGCUUACCAAGGCUACGAUGUCUAGGGGCUCUGAGAGGAGAAUCCCCCACACUGGUACUGAGACACGGACCAGACUCCUACGGGAGGCAGCAGUAAGGAAUAUUGGUCAAUGGACGGAAGUCUGAACCAGCCAUGCCGCGUGCAGGAAGACGGCCCUAUGGGUUGUAAACUGCUUUUAUACGGGAACAAACGUCGGUACGUGUACCGGUCUGAGUGUACCGUAAGAAUAAGGAUCGGCUAACUCCGUG
rnacentral:rRNA from 1 species